rnacentral:rRNA from 1 species
GGUGAGUAAUGUAUAGGAAUCUACCUAGUAGUACGGAAUAAUUGUUGGAAACGACAACUAAUACCGUAUACGCCCUACGGGGGAAAAAUUUAUUGCUAUUAGAUGAGCCUAUAUUAGAUUAGCUAGUUGGUGGGGUAAUAGCCUACCAAGGUAAUGAUCUAUAGCUGAUCUGAGAGGAUGAUCAGCCACACUGGAACUGAGAUACGGUCCAGACUCCUACGGGAGGCAGCAGUGGGGAAUAUUGGACAAUGGGCGAAAGCCUGAUCCAGCCAUGCCGCAUGAGUGAAGAAGGCCUUUGGGUUGUAAAGCUCUUUUAGUGAGGAAGAUAAUGACGGUACUCACAGAAGAAGUCCUGGCUAACUCCGUGCCAGCAGCCGCGGUAAUACGGAGAGGGCUAGCGUUAUUCGGAAUUAUUGGGCGUAAAGGGCGCGUAGGCUGGUUAAUAAGUUAAAAGUGAAAUCCCGAGGCUUAACCUUGGAAUUGCUUUUAAAACUAUUAAUCUAGAGAUUGAAAGAGGAUAGGGGAAUUCCUGAUGUAGAGGUAAAAUUCGUAAAUAUUAGGAGGAACACCAGUGGCGAAGGCGUCUAUCUGGUUCAAAUCUGACGCUGAAGCGCGAAGGCGUGGGGAGCAAACAGGAUUAGAUACCCUGGUAGUCCACGCUGUAAACGAUGAAUGUUAAAUAUGGGGAGUUUACUUUCUGUAUUACAGCUAACGCGUUAAACAUUCCGCCUGGGGACUACGGUCGCAAGAUUAAAACUCAAAGGAAUUGACGGGGACCCGCACAAGCGGUGGAGCAUGUGGUUUAAUUCGAUGCAACGC